rnacentral:rRNA from 1 species
UAGGAAAAGAGCGCGCCUUGAUGGUACUAAUUGAAUAAGUGACAGCUAACUAUGUGCCAGCAGUUGCGGUAAAACAUAGGUCACAAGCAUUAUCCGGAUUUAUUGGGCGUAAAGGAAGCGUAGGCGGGGAGGCUGAUCCAUUGUUAAAGGCAUUUGCUCAACAAAUGUGUGCGAUGGAGAUCUCCUCCCUAGAGUUAAUCAGGGGGUACUGGAAUUCAAUGUGUAGCGGUGGAAUGCGUAGAUAUAUUGAGGAACACCAGAGGCUAAGGCGAGUACCUGGGAUAUAACUGACGCUGAGGCUUGA